rnacentral:rRNA from 1 species
GACGAACGCUGGCGGCGUGCCUAACACAUGCAAGUCGAGCGGAGACAGUGAGUAGCUUGCUAUGAGCUGUUUUAGCGGCGGACGGGUGAGUAACGCGUGAGCAACCUUUCCCAGACAGGGGAAUAACACACCGAAAGGUGUACUAAUACCGCAUAAGACCACGGGAUCACAUGGUUCUGAGGUAAAAGAUUUAUCGGUUUGGGGUGGGCUCGCGUCCGAUUAGGUAGUUGGUGAGGGAACGGCCCACCAAGCCGACGAUCGGUAGCCGGCCUGAGUGGGUGAUCGGCCACAUUGGGACUGAGAUACGGCCCAAACUCCUACGGGAGGCAGCAGUGGGGAAUAUUGGGCAAUGGAGGAAACUCUGACCCAGCAACGCCGCGUGGAGGAAGAAGGUUUUCGGAUCGUAAACUCCUGUCCUUGGAGACGAGUGGAAGACGGCAUCCGAGGAGGAAGCCCCGGCUAACUACGUGCCAGCAGCCGCGGUAAGAC